GUCCCUGUAGCGCAUUGGACAGCACUUUGGAUUUCUCAUCCAAAGGUCGCGGGUUCAAUUGUCGUCUGGGAUG